rnacentral:rRNA from 1 species
AUUGAACGCUGGCAGCAUGCCUUACACAUGCAAGUCGAACGGUAACAGGUUAAGCUGACGAGUGGCGAACGGGUGAGUAAUGUAUCGGAACGUGCCCAGACGUGGGGGAUAACUACUCGAAAGAGUGGCUAAUACCGCAUACGACCUGAGGGUGAAAGCGGGGGCCCGUAAGGCCUCGCGCGAUUGGAGCGGCAGAUAUCAGAUUGGCUAGUUGGUGGGGUAAAAGCCCUCCAAGGCGACGAUCUGUGGCUGGACUGAGAGGACGACCAGCCACACUGGGACUGAGACACGGCCCAGACUCCUACGGGAGGCAGCAGUGGGGAAUUUUGGACAAUGGACGCAAGGCUGAUCCAGCCAUGCCGCGUGCGGGAAGAAGGACUUCGGGUUGUAAACCGCUUUUGUCAGGGAAGAAACGAGUUUCUCUAAUACAUAGACUUAAUGACGGUACCUGAAGAAUAAGCACCGGCUAACUACGUGCCAGCAGCCGCCGUAACAC